rnacentral:rRNA from 1 species
UGGGGAAUUUUGGACAAUGGGCGAAAGCCUGAUCCAGCAAUGCCGCGUGUGUGAAGAAGGCCUUCGGGUUGUAAAGCACUUUUGUCCGGAAAGAAAUCCUUGGCUCUAAUACAGUCGGGGGAUGACGGUACCGGAAGAAUAAGCACCGGCUAACUACGUGCCAGCAGCCGCGGUAAUACGUAGGGUGCAAGCGUUAAUCGGAAUUACUGGGCGUAAAGCGUGCGCAGGCGGUUUGCUAAGACCGAUGUGAAAUCCCCGGGCUCAACCUGGGAACUGCAUUGGUGACUGGCAGGCUAGAGUAUGGCAGAGGGGGUAGAAUUCCACGUGUAGCAGUGAAAUGCGUAGAGAUGUGGAGGAAUACCGAUGGCGAAGGCAGCCCCUGGGCCAAUACUGACGCUCAUGCACGAAAGCGUGGGGAGCAAACAGGAUUAGAUACCCUGGUAGUCCACGCCCUAAACGAUGUCAACUAGUUGUUGGGGAUUCAUUUCCUUAGUAACGUAGCUAACGCGUGAAGUUGACCGCCUGGGGAGUACGGUCGCAAGAUUAAAACUCAAAUGAAUUGACGGGGUCAUAGCUGUUUCCU